UACGUAGGUGGCAAGCGUUGUCCGGAUUUACUGGGCGUAAAGAGCGCGCAGGCGGUCGAUCAAGUCGCGUGUGAAAGCCCCCGGCUCAACUGGGGAGGGUCACGCGAUACUGAUCGACUCGAAGGCAGGAGAGGGUAGUGGAAUUCCCGGUGUAGUGGUGAAAUGCGUAGAGAUCGGGAGGAACAUCAGUUGCGAAGGCGGCUCUCUGGACCAGCACUGACACUGAGGCACGAAAGCGUGGGGAGCAAACAGGG
rnacentral:rRNA from 1 species